rnacentral:rRNA from 1 species
UACGUAGGGUCCAAGCGUUGUUCGGAUUUACUGGGCGUAAAGGGCGCGUAGGCGGCGCGGUAAGUCACUUGUGAAAUCUCUGAGCUUAACUCAGAACGGCCAAGUGAUACUGCAGUGCUAGAGUGUGGAAGGGGCAAUCGGAAUUCUUGGUGUAGCGGUGAAAUGCGUAGAUAUCAAGAGGAACACCUGAGGUGAAGACGGGUUGCUGGGCCAACACUGACGCUGAGGCGCGAAAGCCAGGGGAGCAAACGGG